rnacentral:lncRNA from 1 species
UAACAUUAUCAUCAACCAACUUUCACCGUACAAACCACAUAUUUUAUUAUUCAUCUUCAAACCCUACAUAAAAUGAUAAAAACAUCCAAAUUCUCCAAAACGUUACUUAAAAAAAAAGAGACUUAAAGGUAAUGUUAUGAUUACAAACCGCCCUAAUAAUCAUUACUUAAUUCAAAGGUAAACGUUACUUAAUUCAAAUUCACUACUAAUAAUCAUUUAUCAACGAUUCACACCAUUAUUGACGACAGAUCAUUCUUUUUUAGCUCGUACUUAAGAUCCAACAACUCAUUCUCAGGUAAUGUUAUGGUUACAAACCGCCCUCCACCACCAUCUUUAGGUGUUGGAAGUACCAAAAUUACCCCUUCAUCUCCAACCCCAUCGACCGAAUAAC